UACGUAGGGGCAAGCGUUGUCCGGAAUUAUUGGGCGUAAAGAGCUCGUAGGCGGUCUGUCGCGUCGAAUGUGAAAAUCCGAGGCUCAACCUCGGACCUGCAUUCGAUACGGGCAGACUAGAGUUCGGUAGGGGAGUCUGGAAUUCCUGGUGUAGCGGUGAAAUGCGCAGAUAUCAGGAGGAACACCGGUGGCGAAGGCGGGACUCUGGGCCGAUACUGACGCUGAGGAGCGAAAGCGUGGGGAGCAAACAGG
rnacentral:rRNA from 1 species